GCAGGCCUCAGGCCAGGAAGGUGCCAGGGGGGUGGGCUCUGCCUAGGAGGGAGGAAUGUGCUGGGGGGUGGUGCCCUGAAAUGCCUGUGCAGGCAGGGCUGGGGAGUC